UUUUAAUAUUUGAUUAAUAAUCAUUUUGUACUGUGAAACCAGCAAUUUUAUAAAUAAAGUUUUGAAUUCAAAUAUGCUUUGUCUCACAGGAAACCGUGACGUUUUUGCAAUCGCUUCCCGUGCAUGAUAAUGACAAAACCAAAGGAAAAGCCAUGUCCUCACUGCCAAUCCAAAAACAACGCCAGCUGCAAAACCUGCAAAAAAUGUUUUGCUAGUUUAAUUCUCAAAAAAAAAAUUAAGGCAAAACAAAAAAAUAUAGAAGACAGUUCAUGGAGGUCCACCACCCAAAAACACCGCAAUGCUGCUCGUGUGGUGGAUUCUGCCCGCAUUGCUGUUAAGAAAUUGGAGGUACUAGGCUAUAAGCCGAUUUUGUUCUACUCAAGAGAGCAAAAAAAGGGAUUUACAGCCGAAGUGAUUACUUCAGUGGGUCCCUGUGCUGAGGGGCCACUUCGAAACAUAAUGGACAAAAUGACUGGCCUCUAUGAAUAUUUCAUUAAAAAUUAUCAAAGGCUUCAGAUCCACACUGCUGCUGAAUCGGAUCCUGAUGUUUGCCAGCCCCAGACUUCCUCUCCUCCUCCUCCUCCUCCUUCCUCUAGCCUUUCUACUCAUACCUCCUCUUUAUUCACUGUCCCUUCUCCAUCUUCUUCCUCCAGUGGUGCUCCUCUUACCUCCUCUUUCCACACUCUUACUUCAUCUUCCUCCAACAUUUCUUCUCCUCCUACUUCUUCUUUCUACACCAUUCCUGCUGCACCUUCGUUUG